UUUUUUCUCUCAACUCCUCCCCUGCGACACACUCAACUCCCAAACGUCCUUAACUGCACACACACAAUACUCUAUAUAUACACAUACACAAUGUAGAAGGAAGAGAGGAACAAAUACAUGGACAGAGGAUUAGAAAACAAAAGGAGAGGACAAAGAAAACAGAAGACAACAAAAGGUGAAAAAAGGAGGAACACAGACACACAAACACAAAUUGAAGGAAGAAGACAGUCAAAAAGAGAGGAGAGAACGGAUGAGAGUGAGAAAGACAGAAGGAGAGAAUAUGUAAAAACUUUGGAGAAUAAAAUAAAGAAAAAGCAUUAGCAGUAAGGAGAAUAGGAGAGGACAAAAAAGGGAUAAGAAUAUUUGGAGAAAAAUAGAAAAUCAAAGUAGAAGAGGAAAAGUGCUUAGGGUCUCCGUUUGAGUUUUCGGUGAUGACAUUCUAGCUUCUAUACUUGAUUUGAUUUGUCAUACAGAUGCGGUAUACGCUCCCGAGCCUUGAGAUACCAGAGAUGCGGCAAUGCUCCUCGAAAGGAUUCUAUAGUCACACAUGAUUUAAGAUAGGAAGGACCAAUGUGUUGUUCUUUUUUACUAUGCCAAAAGGGGGAGAAAACAUCAAUAUCAGAGGUGCUUGCAACUCAGGGGGAGAAAGUCGACUAUCAAAGGAUAAAAUUCAAUUGAUACUUAAAGAAAACUGGAACAUCAGAGGUGCUUGCAGGUCAGGGGAGCAAGUCGACUAUCAAAGGAUAAGAGUCAAAUGAUACUCAAGGAAGGCAGGAACAUUAGAGAUGCUUAUAAUUCAUAGGGAGCAAGUCAACCAAACAACAGGGAAGUUAAUUGUAGUUUAUUAUUUUUCAUUAUCAAAAAGAGGGAGAUUAUUAUCCCCAUAUUCUCAUUGUAUGUUUUAAUAAGGACAAACUAAUAAACAAAUAUAUUGCAGGAUAUACUGAAGAUACAGAAGAUCAAAAUGAUCCCUAAGGAAUCAAUCAGAAUUUUCGAGAAAGGGAGCAAGGAUUCACUCACAAGAAAGCCACCACCAAGAUUGGAAAAGUAUUAACCACGGAGAUCAUCGACUUCCCAGAUUUAUGGAAAAUGAAUCAAUCAAAAUAAAAGCAAAUAGAAAGACGACCACAUCCUCUACAUGGACAUAUCUGGUAUGGACAUGUACGGCUGUGAAAACUGCACCAAGUAUGAACAUAUCUGAUAUGGACACACUUUACAGUGUCAACCUGCAAUCAAGGAAUAAAUUCAAAUCCUUGGUUGAGAAGAAAUCUUUCGGAUUUCCUUAUGAAGAAUAGAAGUUAAAGCAGUUGAAGAGUAUAAAAGAGAAGACUGAAGAUCGAAGCACUUACACAACUUCAAAAGAGAAUCAUAGUGUGUCUCAAUCUUAUUCUCACAAAGCUUUGUACUUUUUAGUUUAUAAUAGUUACACAAGAAUAAAAUCGAGUCAACUCUGUCAUACCGAUUGAGGCUGUGUCACAAGAUCUGAAAAAUAAAAAAUAAGUUUUCAAAACUUUUUCACCAGCAUUGACACAGAAUCUCCUUUGAAAAGAUCUAAGGAA